rnacentral:misc_RNA from 1 species
GUAGGUGAACCUGCGGAAGGAUCAUUAACAGUAACAUGGUUAUGCUUCUAGCAUAGACUGAAUGAAACCCACUCUGAGUACCUUUGCCUGUUGCUUCCGUAGGGCAUGACAUCUGUCACUCUUGAGCUUAAAAACCUCAAGGGAGUCCUUACGGGAGGUAUACUAUUAAAACUCUUGCACUUCAAUGUCUUCUGUCUGAACUUGUUUACAGCAAACAUUAAAACUUUCAACAACGGAUCUCUUGGUUCUC